UUAUGAUAACAACGAAAGCACUACGCCCAUGGUCGAGAAUUAUAUUCUCGGCGGCGUGCACUGUUGGCUUCGCAGUGCACAGUGACGUUGCUCGAUGAUCUAUGUUGGAAGCCAUACUUGUUGCUUCGUAACUUGUUGAGCUCAAAACAUGGUGAGCCGGGUAACGAUGAGGCAUUGCUGUGGAGGAUGAACCUGUUGCUGUGGUGGACNAAUUGAUGCUGUGGAGAGCGACRAAGGUGCUGCGUUGGUUGAUGAAAAUCUUCCAACGACUUGGUAUUGUAGGUCUCGCAAUGCCAUAUGUCUAGUUGCUUGAUGAUCUAUGUUGGAAGCUUUACACGUUGCUUUUGCGACUUGUUGUGCCUAAAACAUGGUGAAUUGGGUGACNAANAGACCUUGAUGCANAGGAGCACGACGAGGACGUUGCUGCGGAGGAGGAUGAAGAUGAUGCUGCGUUGGUUGAUGAAAGUCUACCAACGACGUGGUAUUGUGGUCCUCGCAAUGCCAUAUGUCACGUUGCUCUGAACGUCCCGGUUUGAAGCUGUACUUGUUUGUUGUGCUUCGUUUCGGUGAUCUCGUGCAACGAUGAGGCAUGUUGGUUUGAUGAAAGUCUUCCAACGACGUGGUAUUGUGUGCCUCGCAAUGCCAUAUGUCACGUUGCUCUGAACGUCUCGGUUUGAAGCUGUACUUGUUUGUUGUGCUUCAAUUCGGUGAUCUCGUGCAACGACGAGGCAUGUUGGUUUGAUGAAAGUCUUCCAACGACGUGGUAUUGUGGGCCUCGCAAUGCCAUAUGUCACGUUGCUCUGAACGUCUCGGUUUGAAGCUGUACUUGUUUGUUGUGCUUCAAUUCGGUGAUCUCGUGCAACGACGAGGCAUGUUGGUUUGAUGAAAGUCUUCCAACGACGUGGUAUUGUGGGCCUCGCAAUGCCAUAUGUCACGUUGCUCUGAACGUCCCAGUUUGAAGCUGUACUUGUUUGUUGUGCUUCAAUUUGAUGAUCUCGUGCAACGACGAGGCAUGUUGGUUUGAUGAAAGUCUUCCAACGACGUGGUAUUGUGGGCCUCGCAAUGCCAUAUGUACUGUUGCUCUGAAUGAUCCGGUUUGAAGCUGUACUUGUUUGUUGUGCUUCAUUUUGGUGAACUCGUGCAAUGACGAGGCAUGGUCGCUUACUUCUGUGUGAUAUUCUUCUCGUAUCGUUCGGUGCAUUUUGGGGACAUUUCAGUAUUUGGUUGUUUCCUUGGCUUUUAGCUAGGGUGGUGACUAAAUGUUCGUCUCGNNNNNNNNNNNNNNNNCGUAAAGGGUGCAUGAGUGGUAUUUGGUUUGUUACGGGUGGUUGGCUCUUGCUUGCGCAACAACUUCCACCCGGCUUACCUCUUCAGUUGCUUGCCAAUGCUUGUAAAGUAUUGGUUGGAUUGUGGGUUUCAUGUGUUGCCUACCGAAUUGAUGGUAUUGUAUUYUUAAAGAAUUCCGUUUUUUCAUCUUGCAUCGCAAAUGCGUUGUGUGAUGAACCUUGAAGCAUUCUUUAUGAACCACUCUUUUACUGCUUAGGUGUUAAUCGUGUGGCUCAUUUUGAGUUGCUUGGUAUCCUGGAUAUGGAACCCGAUGGGGGCAUGGGAUGUUUAUAUAUCCCUUGGUUGCCCUG
rnacentral:misc_RNA from 1 species